rnacentral:rRNA from 1 species
UACGUAGGAUCCAAGCGUUGUCCGGAUUUACUGGGUGUAAAGGGUGCGUAGGUGGGUUGGUAAGUCAGUGGUGAAAUCUCCAGGCUUAACUUGGAAACUGCCAUUGAUACUAUCAAUCUUGAAUACCGUGGAGGUCAGCGGAAUAUGUCAUGUAGCGGUGAAAUGCUUAGAUAUGACAUAGACCACCCAUUGCGAAGGCAGCUUACUACACGAUCAUUGACGCUGAGGCACGAAAGCGUGGGGAGCAAACAGG